GACGAAGGAUGCAAGCGUUAUCCGGAAUCACUGGGCGUAAAGAGCAUGUAGGCGGCUUCUCAAGUCCCCGGUUAAAUCCCCCAGCUUAACUGCGGAUCGGCCUGGGAAACUGCCUAGCUUGAGUGUGGUAGGGGUAGCGGGAAUUCCUGGAGUAGCGGUGAAAUGCGUAGAGAUCAGGAAGAACACCUGAGGCGAAAGCGAGCUACUGGACCACGACUGACACUGAGUUGCGAAAGCUAGGGGAGCAAAAGGG
rnacentral:rRNA from 1 species